AGAGUUUGAUCCUGGCUCAGGACGAACGCUGGCGGCGUGCCUAAUACAUGCAAGUCGAACGCUUCUUUCCUCCCGAGUGCUUGCACUCAAUUGGAAAGAGGAGUGGCGGACGGGUGAGUAACACGUGGGUAACCUACCCAUCAGAGGGGGAUAACACUUGGAAACAGGUGCUAAUACCGCAUAACAGUUUAUGCCGCAUGGCAUAAGAGUGAAAGGCGCUUUCGGGUGUCGCUGAUGGAUGGACCCGCGGUGCAUUAGCUAGUUGGUGAGGUAACGGCUCACCAAGGCCACGAUGCAUAGCCGACCUGAGAGGGUGAUCGGCCACACUGGGACUGAGACACGGCCCAGACUCCUACGGGAGGCAGCAGUAGGGAAUCUUCGGCAAUGGACGAAAGUCUGACCGAGCAACGCCGCGUGAGUGAAGAAGGUUUUCGGAUCGUAAAACUCUGUUGUUAGAGAAGAACAAGGAUGAGAGUAACUGUUCAUCCCUUGACGGUAUCUAACCAGAAAGCCACGGCUAACUACGUGCCAGCAGCCGCGGUAAUACGUAGGUGGCAAGCGUUGUCCGGAUUUAUUGGGCGUAAAGCGAGCGCAGGCGGUUUCUUAAGUCUGAUGUGAAAGCCCCCGGCUCAACCGGGGAGGGUCAUUGGAAACUGGGAGACUUGAGUGCAGAAGAGGAGAGUGGAAUUCCAUGUGUAGCGGUGAAAUGCGUAGAUAUAUGGAGGAACACCAGUGGCGAAGGCGGCUCUCUGGUCUGUAACUGACGCUGAGGCUCGAAAGCGUGGGGAGCAAACAGGAUUAGAUACCCUGGUAGUCCACGCCGUAAAC
rnacentral:rRNA from 1 species